rnacentral:rRNA from 1 species
CCUACGGGAGGCUGCAGUGAGGAAUAUUGGUCAAUGGACGAGAGUCUGAACCAGCCAAGUAGCGUGAAGGAUGACUGCCCUAUGGGUUGUAAACUUCUUUUAUAUGGGAAUAAAAUGUUCCACGUGUGGGAUUUUGUAUGUACCAUAUGAAUAAGGAUCGGCUAACUCCGUGCCAGCAGCCGCGGUAAUACGGAGGAUCCGAGCGUUAUCCGGAUUUAUUGGGUUUAAAGGGAGCGUAGGUGGGUUGUUAAGUCAGUGGUGAAAGUGUGUGGUUCAACCGGAAAAUUGCAGUUGAAACUGGGAGUCUUGAGUACAGUAGAGGUGGGCGGAAUUCGUGGUGUAGCGGUGAAAUGCUUAGAUAUCACGAAGAACUCCGAUUGCGAAGGCAGCUCACUGGACUGCAACUGACACUGAGGCUCGAAAGUGUGGGUAUCAAACAGGAUUAGAUACCCGAGUAGUC